AGCAUCAGCUUGGGAUUAGGUCUUUGAUACAGGAUCUGUGUGGAUCCCUGGUCAGAACUUUUCCUGCUACCUACAUCAGCGCAUCACCAGAUUUCAUCUUCUCAGCCUUAAGAGCUAUUCUUUGAUUGCUUUUCCUUAGGCCUGGCGGUUAUUGGAGCUCUUCAACCCACCUCAGCUUGAAAUACCCUGCUACCAUUGUGGUACCAGGUGCUAUGACUGAGCACCAGGAGUAUCAUGGAACAACAAUUCAGAACUGCCCUGUGCAGGCAAGGUCACAGUGAUGGACACCUUGGGAAACAAAAUCAGAAUACAGCGUGUUGGUGACUACAGGAAUCAUAUCUAUGGUAUG